rnacentral:tRNA from 1 species
UGGGAAGCACUCAGUGGUAGAGCCCCUGCCUAGCAUGCAAAAGGUCCUGGGUUCCAUUCCCAGCACAA